rnacentral:rRNA from 1 species
UACGGAGGGUGCGAGCGUUGUCCGGAAUCACUGGGCGUAAAGGGCGCGUAGGCGGCUCGGUAAGCGUGUGGUGAAAGCCUGGGGCUCAACCCCGGGUCGGCCAUGCGAACUGUCGAGCUGGAGCACUGUAGAGGCAGGCGGAAUUCCGGGUGUAGCGGUGGAAUGCGUAGAGAUCCGGAAGAACACCGGUGGCGAAGGCGGCCUGCUGGGCCGUAACUGACGCUGGAGGAGCGAAAGCAUGGGGAGCGAACAGG